GAGGGGGCAAGCGUUGUUCGGAAUUACUGGGCGUAAAGGGCGCGUAGGCGGCCUUCUAAGUCGAACGUGAAAUCCCUGGGCUCAACCAGGAACUGCGUCCGAUACUGGGAGGCUUGAAUCCGGGAGAGGGAUGCGGAAUUCCAGGUGUAGCGGUGAAAUGCGUAGAUAUCUGGAGGAACACCGGUGGCGAAGGCGGCAUCCUGGACCGGCAUUGACGCUGAGGCGCGAAAGCCAGGGGAGCAAACGGGAUUAGAUACCCCGGUAGUCCUGGCCCUAAACGAUGAAUGCUUGGUGUGGCGGGUAUCGAUCCCUGCCGUGCCGAAGCUAACGCAUUAAGCAUUCCGCCUGGGGAGUACGGUCGCAAGGCUG
rnacentral:rRNA from 1 species